rnacentral:snRNA from 1 species
UCGGACGUCUUCGGCGUU